AGAGCAUGAAAACGAAAUGUCAAGAAAGUUGAUGGGGAUCCUGAAGAAAAUUAGGGAGAGUGACCCUUCGUAUUAUCAGCUGACGUACCUUGUACGGCAAGGUGAGCAACCUCGAGAAGGGUUGCUUCUUCUCACAAACCUUGUUGAGGAUCAGUUUGGUGGUGUCAGUGGUUAUGUUGAUUGGAUUAUGCAAAUACACAGACAAGUCCAGCAAAAUGCAUAGGAAGUACAGGUAAGGAAUAGUAAGGUUGAUUUCCAUAUUCAGUUUAGCGUUCAGAAAUUGCUUCAAAAGUUUUAAGACUCCUUGUGGACAGCAACUGCAAAUGUUAUUCCUUUUAUAGGCAAUUUAGUAAGUUGUCAAAAUUUUAAAGUAAUAGGGGUAAUGAAGUUACUUUUUUGAGGAUCAUUAAGCUUUUGAAUAAUUCUAGAUGGCUGGUUUCUACAAAGCUGAGCAUAGUCCUUUUCAACUUUGUUGUUAAAGUCACUUUGUAGAAAUGCUUUUUUGACCCCCUUGGUUUGCUGCUGAUUUCAAAGCCACUGUUUAAACUAAGUUUCAUACAUAUGAUGUUUUACUUCAAUAUUGCAGGUUGUUUCUCAUUUGCUUGUGUUGUUGCCCAUCUGUAAAGUGACCAAAUGCAUUGUCCAACAUCAACUAAAUAAUAAUGUUAAAUCGAUUUCAUGGGCUGAAUAGAAAAGUCAAAGCCGAGCUUGUCGUACUUGAUUACCCUUUUGGGUUGGGUGGCUAAGUUGGAUGACAUUUAUAAGGAGAUAGAGUUACAAAAGAAUGUUGGUUGUUGAAGAUUCAAUAAGUAGGGGUGUAUUUCUAGCAAAUACGAUUUCAUCGGUGAGUUCCAUGGUCAUAGAUUCCUGCCAAAAGGCGAGACUAUUAAAGUUUUUGUAUGUGAUAGAUUUUAUCUUUAGCAAAAAUUUCUGCCAAGUUCUGUUAUGUUUUUCUUCUAUUUUUAAACGUUGAAAGGCAUUUGCUUUGUGUUGCUGAGAGGUGAGACAGAUCGCAUAUGAGAUUGAUUCAUGUUUCAUGGCACUGAUUUUGUUCUUGUUUUAAUAUUCUUAAUGAAACCAAGAUAAAAAAUUCAAUUUUUUUUGUCUAUCAUUCUUUUCUUGUUUGCCUUCUUUUGGAGGGCCUGCAAGCUAAAUGAGAAAUCAGCCCUUUGAUUGAACACUAAUUACCUCUAAGAAACAGAAUUUUACAAUGUAUGAAAUUAGUCUAAAAUUUAGCACAAACUAAUUUAAGGAAAAAAGAACAAAGAAAAAAAUUGCAGCAACAUCUUUUUGACCAUAUGGAGAAUAAGUAAAUAUGUCUGAAGGUAUUAUCUCAAACAGGAUAAUCCCAAAGCUGUAAGCAACAUAUAAUUCUCAAAUACCAAACAAAAGAAAAAUUAAUUACUAUCAUUAUAUUUGGAGGGAUCUUAGAAGAAUAAAUUUGUUGUGCCCUGUUAGAAUUAGGUAGGUUGUUCAAAUUAUUAAAUGAUUGAAUAUGUUCUAAUAUUUUUGAUAACUCAUUAUAAUAUUUUAUGUAGUAAAAUAUUUCUGUUUAUAUUGACAUGAAAUUGGAUAAGAUUUGAUUUUAUUUCUAAUUUAUGCAAAUUUACUUUUUCAUCAUAUAAAGAAACAAAUAUUAGAAUUUGUGUCCGAAAUUUUUUGAGGCUCAAAAUUUCCAAUGACAAAAUAUGAAAUGUUCAACUUUAACUUGUUUGUAGAUAUUGAAAAGUUAGACAAGUUCAGACUUAUCACAGCAAUAAAGUGAAGAUUCAAAAGAAAAAAAAAAGGAUAAAUCUGCUUAAUAUUAUUUUUAUAAAAAUACAAAACAAUAUUAUCUUCAUAAAAAACAAGAAAGUAACACAUUAUUUCUUCCGGUAAGUUUCAAGAUGCAAUGAUAGUAUUUCAUCAAUUAUCGUAUAAUAAAAUAUCUUCUAGUACAAAUAUGUGAUUUUAUAAUUUUUUCGUAAACUAAUCACUAGCAUUAAAUAAUUUGCAAAAAUAAAAACAAAAAUAAACACUUAUUACAAACAACAAUAACUUUUUAACACAAUAACAACUCUUUUGUUCCUCUUUUAAACUCAUGAACAGCAGCUGUUUAUCCAUGGGGGAUGGACUACUUCCUACAACACUUUAGUAAUGGAUAAAAAAAAAUUUGAAGAUACAUAAAUUACAUCUACCCUAUCAUUAAACUAUAAUCAUAUUUUGAUUAGACGUUAAAAAAUUAUAUUUUUUCAACUUCUAAUUGUAGCAAACAGUAUCUGACCGAUAAAUUUAAAAUGAAUUUUAAAACUAUCGAAGCGGUGAUAUAUGACCAAUCGGAGUUUUUUUUUUUUAUACUCUUAUAUAAUAAAUUUAAUUUUAUUUUUAUCUUCACAAAUUAUUAUUUAUUUUAUUAAAUAUAAAAAUUUAAUUUAAUUAUGUGAAAUAAUUAUUUAUUUAAAUAAAAAUUUAAUUAUAUUAGUAAACAAUUUAUUUUUGUCAUUAUAUAUUUUUUAUAUUCUAUUUAUUAUUAGAUAUAAUAAGUAUGGGUAAAUUAAUAAUUUAAAUGAAAAUAUAAUUAUAUAAUUUUAUUAUUUAAAUAAAAAUAUGCUACAAUUAUUUAAAUAUAAAAAUUUUUUGUUAUUUUCAUCCUGUGUUAUUUUCAUCUAAUUAUUGUUAUUAUUAUAUAUUAAUUAAUCAUCAUUAAAAUUUAUUCAAACAAAGUGUAAAUACCAAUUUGUUAAAGAUCCAACUAGUUAUUAGAUAAGAACUUCCAAUGCACUAAGAAUAAAAAAGAAAGUAACAUGGCCAAAAAGAAUAAACAAGAGAAAAAUGAGCCAAGAUUUCCAAAAACCUAUGUCAACAAGAACAAGCUGUGGAAACGAAAGUGCAAAAAAUUAUGUCACCCCAUAGGGCUCGAAUACGAGGUUCCAACGCAUUAAAGGAUAAUUCGGUAGACCAAUAAUGCUUUGCCCUGUAAAACCCUACUGAAGUCCUGCUUGUCACCAUCUUCCUCUAAAAGCUUUGUUCUGGGCCUUUUAGUCAGGUAUCCUUGUCAUGUAUCGCAUAGCUUCGAAGUUAGCUUCUUCCGUCAGGUACCCACUUUUUUCCUUUUAACAUUGGCUUCAAGUUUUAUGCAGGAAUACUUAUAUUUUCUAUAUUGGGCUAUGAUUGGUUUGCAGGUCUUCUUCUUCGUGGAAAUUGGUAUCUAAUAUUUUUGGUUCAAUUUUUUACUUUCGAACUUGGUUCCUUUUAGUUUGUAUUUCUUAUUCGAGCAUCAUUGCUCUUUUUUAGAAUAAAUACAUGUUCAGUCCAGUGAAUGUUUUUUAGUUCUUGUGAGAGUGAUGCAAAAAUUCAGAUUUCCAACUUUUCCUCGCCACAAGAAGGAGCAUAUGUUUUAUCGUACAGAGUUAUCAUUUUUCUUAAAAGAACGAAUAUUGUUGUUAGGAAAUUCAAAAUGGUUUAUUGGCGUGAAAAUGUUGUAGAAAAUCUCCAAUUUGUUUCAUUUUCUUCUCUGAUAAAUUUGAAAGGGUUGGUCUUCAUGCGUAUAAAUUAUUUAUGACAUUUUUUGUUGGCUGAUUAUUCGAAUGCGAAAGGUGUGCAGCAGGGUCAUCAGCAACAGAAAUUAUGUGGCAAAGGAUAUCAGUUUUGGGGUGGGGGCUCGUGCUGCGAUGCUGCAAGGAGUGUCUGAGGUAGCAGAAGCUGUGAAAGUUACCAUGGGACCAAAGGUAUCUUCUAUACUUAUGUUGGUUGGUAUUUGGUUGAAAAACGAGAAAAGAAUGCCAUCAGCAAUACUACAUGAAAUAAAUUUCUUUUGUUUUAUACAUUCUUAUCGAGUUAUAUCUACCAAGUUAUCAAAUCAUAUCGUUUGAAGUUAAAGGUAGUGUUAGUCUGUAAACUUAAUGCAAUGUUGGGAGUUAGGAAUUAACCGAAAAAAGAAAUUUCUUGACCCUUUUCAAAUUUUUCUUUGUAUUCUUUUUCUCAUUUAUUGCUCCAGGGACGGAAUGUGAUUAUUGAGAAAACUCGAGGGGGUCUCAAGAUAACAAAGGAUGGUGUUACUGUUGCCAAGAGCAUCAAAUUUAAGGAGAAAGCUAAAAAUGUUGGAGCAGAUCUUGUGAAGCAGGUUGCUAAUGCUACCAAUAAGACUGCUGGGGAUGGUAAAUUGUUGUUAUUUAUUAAUUUUGGACCAUAACUAUAAUGCAAAUGGUUAUCCAUUCACAGAUAGUUCGGAGAUUCAGACUAGACGGAUGAUAUGGAUCAGGUUAUAUAGUUAGAAGGUUAUGAGAACCCUAUGAGAAGCUCUCUAUAUUUUAUAAGCAGAGUAACAGAAGCAAAAAGAAAUAGAAAUAAAUAGAGGAAUUACAGAAAUCUUCUUCAGACGGAAUUUAAUUAAAUAAAACCUUAAAUCUAAAUUAUUUUUUUAAAAAAGCCUUUGACCUAAAUUACUUCCAACUGGACAGAAAAAUUUGGAUCUUUGAUUAAGGUCUUAUCAUUGUUCCCCCUGAAGCAUGAACAGAAGUUACUAGGAGACAUAGAUCAUCCACUCAUUUUCUUUUGGUUUCACAUUUUUAUUCAAAAAAAAAAUUUCUUUGAUUUCAGCAGAUAACAAAAGAAUUCAUUGUUUCCACUGUAUCUUUUUGCAUGUCAUGUGCAAAGCAGGAAAUUUAACUAAAUUGUGAGGCCUUUUCUGCCUGUUAUGAAUAUUUGACCAAGGUGACAUUCUUACUGUUGGAUGUGUUGCGUUUCCAUUCACAGGCACAACAUGUGCUACAGUAUUGACUCAGGCAAUACUUGUGGAAGNNNNNNNNNNNNNNNNNNNNNNNNNNNNNNNNNNNNNNNNNNNNNNNNNNNNNNNNNNNNNNNNNNNNNNNNNNNNNNNNNNNNNNNNNCCACUAUUUCUGCUAAUGGUGAACGUGAGAUCGGAGAACUUAUAGCAAGAGCCAUGGAGAAAGUUGGAAAGGAAGGAGUUAUUACUGUUACUGUGAGGAUAUUUCCUUCUAAUAUUUUGAUCCCUGAACUUUUUACAGUUUGGUUUGCAAAAUAAUAUUUGCAAUUUUUAAUAGGACGGGAAGACUUUGGAUAAUGAAUUGGAAGUAGUGGAAGGAAUGAAGCUAUCCAGAGGUUAUAUUUCUCCUUAUUUUAUUACAGAUCAGAAGACCCAGAAAUGUGUGAGUUACAUCAGUAUAAUUGCAAUUGUUCUUCUUCUAGUGGCGGAGCAAUUAUAACCCAUUAUGUCAUGUGUUUUAUAUUGAAUUACAGCUACAUGUAUCUUGUUUAACAUGAUCUAAAUUCUAGUCAAAUAUUCUCUUUCUAUUAAAAUAUUAAAAGAAAAUAAUUCUGAUAUUAAACUUGAUGAUAUGCAUGUUUGCAGGAGCUUGAAAAUCCGCUGAUACUCAUUUAUGGCAAGAAAAUUUCAGACAUGAACUCGCUUUUAAAAGUUCUAGAGCUGUCUGUAAAUGUAAUUAGCAUUUACCAUACAUGUCAUUUUUCAUUUGAAAAGCAAAUGAAGGAUUAGGUUCAUCAUAAAAGAACUCAAUUUUUUCUCUUGCUGUUUAUUUUCAAACAGAAAAAUAGGCCACUUCUUAUUGUUGCUGAGGAUGUGGAUAGUGAUGCUCUUGCGAUGCUUAUUCUCAACAAGCAUCGUGCUGGGCUUAAGGUAAUUGGGUUUCUGUGCUUGGAAUUUGAAUUAGGUAGUAUACAAGGUUUUUCAGAAAGAAGGUUACUGAAUAUGAACUGCUAGUACAUAAGCAGAGAGGAAAAUGUAUUUUUAUUUUCGUUACUGAAUGGAUGUGAACUAUUUCUACCUAUUAUUCUCAGCAUCUAUUUAAAUCAUAAAGCAGCUCUUCACUCAGUCGUACUCAAAAUAUUGCGUAUGGGCCUGCCUCUGUCAUUGCUUGUGGUUUUUCUUUAGUUUUUCAAUCGAAUUGGUUCUUGAACUUCAAUUUAAACUAAACUUUAGAAGGUCGUAGUUUGUACUGGAAUUUAUUUUGGUCUGGGAAUAUAUAAAGACUCUUCUGGCUUGGAACUUUGGCUUUUUGCUUGAGGGGCUUUUUAUCACUGACAUACUAUAUUGAAGUUUAUCCACAUGUUUCUCCUGGUAAAAAUGGAUGAUUGGAUCUUUCCAUUUAGUGAGAUGAUUAAACAUAGAGGAUGCAUCUUUUAUAUUGAAAUGCUCAGUCCAGUCUGGACUUUCUGGUUUUAGGUAUGUGCUGUUAAAGCUCCUGGCUUUGGAGAUAACAGAAGAGCGAACUUGGAUGAUCUUGCCCUUCUUACUGGGGGAGAGGUGAAAUGUUUUCCAGGACUAGAUUUUAUGGCAGUUAUAUGCUUGCUCUAGCUUAAAUAACCAUAAACCUAGCUAAUGUACAGGUUAUCACUGAAGAACACGGUCUAUCUCUUAACAAAGUCAAGGUUGAAAUGCUUGGCAUGGCAAAAAAGGUUUGUGCAUAACAUGUGCUUGUUUUCUUCAUGCUUCUUACAAACAUUUACUGAUAGUUACCCCAGGUGUCUAUAUCUCUUGAUGACACCAUAAUUCUCCAUGGUGGUGGGGAUAAGAAAUCGAUUGAAGACAGAUGUGAGGAGGUAUGCUGAUUUAUUCUGUCAUUUCUUUUCUAUCUUACUAUCUACAUUGGCAUUCAAUUUUAGUUUUACCCAUUUAAGUCCAUUUAUAAUUUUUUAUUCUUCUUCGGACAUGGUAAAAAGAAUGAAGGGAAAUCAGAUGUAUUCCUUGUAAUAAGUCUGGAAUAUAAACCAAAUAUCUUAAUUUUUAACACGCUAUGACCCACCACUUAGUUCAAAUAUUGUAAAGAUUUUAAAGUUGGGCUCAUCCCUAGGGGUUGCAGGUACUAUUUUCAUGUUAGUAAGAUUUAUCAUCAGAUGGCUGCAGAAUGGCAGCUGCUGAUGUUAUUAUCUUAAAUUUGAGAAGGAAAAUACGGUUUAGGAUGGAGUGUAUGUUGAACAACAAAAAAUUUAAUAAUCCUUAAUUAAUUUAUUGUAAUAAGUGAUAGUUAAUUGAAGGAUAUUUUAUCAGGUAAGAAAACUCUGCUGACAUUUUUUCCUUUUUCACAGUUAAGGACAACCAUGGAGGAGAGCACUGCCUUGUUUGACAAGGAGAAAGCACAGGAACGGCUAUCAAAAUUAUCCGGUGGUGUUGCUGUCUUCAAAGUACGUUAUUCAUCUUUCUGGAUUCCUGCAGUGUUUUCUAGUAGCAUCCAUGCAAUCAAAAGAUCUCUUACAGGUUGGGGGAGCUAGCGAGGCAGAAGUUGGAGAAAGAAAAGAUAGAGUGACAGAUGCCUUAAAUGCUACUAGAGCAGCUGUAGAAGAGGGUGUUGUGCCUGGUAAGUUGACUGUUGUUAUUUAUAGGUCAACCAUUCUUGUAAACAUAACCAUUAUCACGAGAGACGGUUUUUCUUUUAGUGGUGGAGUUGCUCUCUUAUAUGCAACCAAGAUUUUGGAGGACCUUCAAGCUCAAAACGAAGACGAGAAAAGGGGCAUUCAGAUAAUUCAAAGUGCCCUCAAGGUCUAUUUAUUGGACCCUAUAUACUCAGCAUUGUCUUUCUCUCUUAUUUAACUGCCAACCUAUAAUCCCUGAGGAUAAUUAUUGGUUGUCUAUAGGCACCUAUAUAUACAAUAGCUGCAAAUGCUGGUUUUGAUGGAUCCGUGGUACUUGGCAAAUUGCUAGAGCAAGACAAUCAUAGUUUUGGUUUUGAUGCUUCUAGAGGUAUGUCUCUUCAGGUUUUUACUAAAUGUCGUCAUUGACACUUUCCUUAUUGGAACCCUCAGUACUUUAUUCUGUUAAAAACAGGUAAUUAUGUUGAUAUGGUGGAGGCAGGAAUUGUCGAUCCCCUUAAGGUGGUUAGAACAGCCUUAGUGGAUGCUGCAAGGUGAUGACAGGCAAACUUUAGGCUAAAAAGAAUUGUGCAAAAAAUUUCUGCAUGUUAAAUAUACUUUUGGUUGCAGUGUCUCAUUGCUACUGGCGACAACUGAGGCAGCUGUAGUGGAGAAUCCAGAUGACAAGAAAAAGAAACCUUCAAGCCGAAUGCCAGUGAUGGAUGAUGAAUAUUAGUUGUUUCCAUUAGAAAAAUGGUAAGCUUUACAAGUUACAAUACCGGAUAUAUCACUAUCAAUACAUUUUUUGUUUUUUCUUUUUUCAGUUUCUAAAGUUGCAUUGAAGCCAGAGAGAGAUAGAUAUAUGAGUCUUUUACCUCAGCAAUUGUCUUGAAAUUCAGAUAUCCUAUUACUGGAAUGUGAUUGUUUUUGAGAAUCAGCUACUUGCAGACCGAAAUUGUUAUCUUCUUGGAAGGUAGGCUAGUUACCCCUUUCUUUUGGCAAAGUGAAGAGCUUGUUAUUUGUUAUUGGCACCACCAAACGGGGUGAAUAUUUGAGUUUGAUUUUUACAAACUGACGACAUUUACCUGGAAUCGACGUCGAAUAUUAUAAUUGAAUCGAAAAUAGUAAUAUAGACAUCAUAAAAGUAACAGAAAAAUAUGUAAGGAUCAAAUAAAAUUUUUCAAUGUGAAAAAAUUGAAAAACAUCAAUGAAAAAAUCAACUAUGUUAUGAGACUACGUAUUAGAAAAUUUUUAUUCAAAUCAGCUCGUCUUUUUACAAAAAAAAAAAAAAAGUAAUAAUUUUCACUCUACUAUAUCUAAAAAUAAAAAUAAUUAUCUUAUAAAAGUAAUGUUUAAAAAUAAAAAUAAUUAAGCGUAAAAAUUUGGAAGAAAAAUUAAAUUUUUUUUAUUCUUUGUCCCUCUGGAUUUUAUUUAUUUAUUUAUUUUUUCAAAUCAUGAUGUGGAGAAAAGAUAUUUACGCACAAAUUUCAUCAAAGUGUGAGAAUUAAUCAACAAUAAUUUAACAUUUAUCUCAAUGAACCACAAAAAUAUUAAUCAACACUGAAUAGGUAUUUUUUUUUAAAUAUAAAUGAUAUAUAUAAAUAAAAUACAAAAAAAAUAUAUAUUUAUAUUUAUUUAUUUGAAUAACUAAUUUUUAAAAAAUUUACAAUAAUUGAGAGAUUAAGCAUGAGACUGAAAAAUGAGAGCUUUAUCUAAAAAUUUUAUUUAAAAAAAUAAGAAUAUUUUAGCAAUUCUAUCAUUUUAUUAUAUAAUAAUUUAAUUGAAUAAAAUAUAAAAGUUUUAAAAUAUAUGAAAUUUGGAAUAUAUAUAUUUCAUAUAUUAUUUAAGAAAUUAUUUAAGAAAAGCAGGAACAGAGAAAAUGAUGGAGACAAUGACAUUUUCCUCCUUCAACAACAUAUAUAUAUAUAUACUUGCAUACAUAUAUAUAAUUAACGUAGAUUUCUUCAACUAAAAAAACCUCCGACGUUGCGGUCUGUGCCUCCAAAUUAACGGCUCUGCGAAUCAUCUUCUUCAUGCUUCAUGCUCUUUCUUCUCUACGUCCUUUAUCCAACUCUUUACAUCUUCAUCUCCAACGUUCAAUCUAUAUUAAUCAACACCACAGCACCCACAUUAGCAAAUCAUAUUGGUCCUCUCUCCCUCUCAAUGAGCGGCUCUUUUGGUUCGAUAAUCUUCUUCAACAAUGCUGCGCAGUUCGACUCUGCAGACAAGUUCACCAACAGGUCAUUGUCUCUGGUAUGUACAAUUCGGCGUUUUUGGCGGCGCGUGUCGUGUCAAUUUAUGCUCGGUUUGGGUUGCUUGUUGAUGCACAAAACGUAUUUGAUACCUCUCCGUUUGGGUGUUUAUCGAAUUUGCUUCUGUGGAAUUCAAUUUUGAGAGCUAAUGUCUCUCAUGGGUAUUAUGAAAAUGCCCUCCAACUUUAUGUUAAAAUGCGAAGAUUAGGAGUUUUGGCCGAUGGCUUUACAUUUCCGUUGGUUAUAAGGGCAUGUGGGUUCCUGGCUAGUUCUAGUUCAGGCAAAAUCGUUCACAGUCAUAUUUUGCAAAUGGGGUUUCAACAUCAUCUUCAUGUUGUAAAUGAAUUGUUGGGCAUGUAUGCGAAGCUCGGUCAGAUGGAUGAUGCCCUCUAUUUGUUUGAUAGAAUGACCGUGAGAAGCUAUAUUUCAUGGAACACGAUGGUUUCAGGGUUUUCUCUGAAUUUGGACUGUGAUGGUGCCUUUGAGAUGUUUAAGCGGAUGGAGUUGGAAGGUUUGGAACCAAACCAAGUAACUUGGACCUCACUUUUGUCUGGACAUUCUCGAUGCGGCCGGUAUGGAUGUGUUAUUGAGUUGUUUGAUAUGAUGAAGAUGAGAGGUUUUAGGGCCAGUGCUGAAGUUCUCGCCGUUUUAUUGUCUGUUUGUGACAAUUUAGCUGCGUUGGACAGGGGCAGAAUGGUUCAUGGAUGUGUUAUAAAGAGUGGGUUUGAAGACUAUUUGUUUGUCAAGAACGCUCUUAUAUGUUUGUAUGGUAAGUAUGGAGAUGUGGCAAAUGCAAAAGUUUUGUUUUCAGAAAUGAGAAACAAGAAUGUUGUGAGUUGGAAUGCUUUGAUUACAUCAUAUGUAGAGACUGGUUUUUGUGAUGAGGCUCUUGAAAUAUUCUCAGAGCUGGAAAAAUCAAACGGUUCUUCAAUGGAGAGGCCUAACAUGAUUAGUUGGAGUGCUAUAAUCAGUGGUUAUGCUUCACAGGGAAGAGGGGAGGAGUCUCUGCAACUUUUUCGUCGCAUGCAGCUUGCUCAGGUAAUGGCCAAUUGUGUUACAAUCUCUAGUGUUUUAUCAGUUUGUGCUGAGUUGGCAGCAUUAAGUCUUGGUAAGGAAAUCCAUUGCCAUCUACUUAGAGCAUUCAUGGAUAAUAACAUUUUGGUUGGAAAUGGCUUACUCAAUAUGUACAUGAGAUGUGGAUCUCUCAAGGAAGGGCAGAUAAUAUUUGAGAAAAUUGAUAACAAGGAUUUGAUCUCAUGGAACUCAUUGAUCACGGGGUAUGGGAUGCAUGGACAGGGUGAGAGAGCUCUAACAAUUUUUAAUGAGAUGGUGGAAGCUGGAUUCCAUCCAGAUGGAGUCACCUUUGUCGCUGUUCUUUCUGCCUGCAGCCACACUGGGCUUGUUGCAAAGGGCCGCAGGCUGUUUGAUCUUAUGACCAGAGUAUUUGGGAUAGAACCCCAGAUGGAGCACUAUGCUUGCAUUGUGGAUGUCCUUGGGCGAGCUGGGUUCUUGCAAGAAGCAAUUGACAUUGUGAAAGGCAUGCCAAUGGAACCCAAUGCCUGUGUCUGGGGAGCUCUGUUAAAUUCCUGUCGGAUGCACAAAAAUACAGAAGUUGCAGAGGGAGCCGCUUCUCGUCUUUUCCGUCUUGACUCAAAACAGAGUGGGAGCCAUAUGUUACUCUCUAAUAUCUAUGCUGAAAGCGGGAGGUGGGAAGAUUCUGCAAGGGUUAGAAGCUUGGUGAAGACAAAAGGUCUAAAGAAAGUGGGUGGGCACAGCUGGAUACAAGUGAAAAAGAAGGUUUAUGUGUUUUCAGCAGGGCAAACAGGGUUGGAGGAAAUUCAUGGUAUCCUUCAGGAAUUGGGUGGUGUAAUGGAGAGCGAAGGCUUCAGGAGUGGUGAAUGGUCUUUCAAAAAGAACGUUGAUGCUGAAGAGUGGAGGUUGAUACUGUGGGCAGAGUGAGCAAUCAUUUUUUGCUUAGCAACCAUGAAAUGACUUUCACAGGACAAAAACUUAUCUCUUGAAGUCAUAAUGAAGGAUAUUAAUUGUGGAAAAAUAUGGGCUUUCCUUCAUUUUAAACAUUUAUUUGCAGAGUCAACUUGGAGGGAAAUUGCUAAUUUUUCAGCGUAUGUCGCCAUCUCUUGGUUUUGGUCGCCUAAAGCUACAAGGAGAUGAUCUUUGCGUUUAUGGAACAGACAAGGAGCACCUUUAAGAGUGCCAGAAGAUCCCUUCUAUAAGCAGAUGGCUACCCAUUUUACUAAGUAGGGGUGAAUUUAUAUGCAUUCAGUGAUUAGUAGACUGAUAUUGCCUCCAUUGGUACGCAAUCAUUUCGUAUCUGUAGUGUACAGCAGUAUAAAAAAUAUUUUUGUUCUGAGUUAAGGCAGCGGAUUUUAUAGUUCUAUUAGCUAUAGGUUCCUAGCAUUGAUGUUUGAAAUUCAUUGUCUCAAUAAUGUUGGGAAGAUGUCCAAGUUGUAAUGGCUAUUAACCAGUCUAUAUAGCAUGUCUUGCUGGCAGAUACUGGGUCCAAAUGCUUAGUUAUCCGUAGUCCUUCAUGAUUUUCUUGAGAUUGCUUAAGCUUGGAUCUUGUAAUAAGUUGGUAACUUGGAUGCUGAUGGAGUCUGGGAUCCAGAUUUUCUGAAGUGUUAUUUGAAAAAGGAAUUAAAAAAAAAAAAUUUAAGCUGUCUGCUAUUGUUCCUAAGUAUUAAUUUGAAGGACAGGAAGAGUAUAUCCUGUUGUUUUUCAUCCUCAUGAUACUUAAAAUAUGUUACUCUGAGAUAUAGAGAAUCUCUUUAAUUUAGUUAAUUUGCCUUGCAACGGUGUUGAUUAAGAUGGUAUACGGACAGAAGUUUAUUGGUCUUAUGAUGGAGCACAUAUUCCAUGGUUUAAAUUGUUUUUCCAAAUUGCUGUUUGCGUGCUACACAUUUUCGAGGGUGCUGGAUUCAUGAUGCUAUACCUUAUGCAAUAUUUUAAUCUUUCAUAUUACUUUAAUAUACUUGUAGGAACUCUUGCAAAGUAUACUGGAGGUCAGGUGUACUACUAUCCAGGUUCUAAUCAAUUAGCGGAGAGAAGUGAAGCAUGAGUUAGUGAGAAACCUUACAAGGGAAACUGCCUGGGAAGCUGUAAUGCGGAUAAGAUGUGGAAAAGGUCUAUUAUCCUGCAUUCAAACUGUGUUCUGUUCGAAUUAUAGAAAUGCUAAUUUUAUUUUGUCAUUGAUUUUUGGUACUUGCAGGGAUCUGGUUUACAUCUUAUCAUGGGAACUUUAUGUUAAGAUCUAUGGAUUUGUUAGCGCUUCCAGCUGUGGAUUGUGAUCAAGCAUACGCAAUGCAGCUAUCUCUUGAGGAGACUUUACUGACAACUCAAACUGUAUACUUCCAAGUUGCUCUACUGUAUCCUUCAAAUGGGAAUCUUUCAAUGAAAUUUGGAGAUACAAAUGUGCAGUUAAUAUUUCAGCUACCUUUAAUAACUGAAAGAAGGACUUCUUUCUGGAAGUAUAUUUUAUGUAUGGCAUGCAUGUAUUUAUGGAUUCGUAUAUAUCUGUGUGUGUUUCUUUUUUUAUGCAUUUAUUUAUGUAUAUAUGUAGAUCUGAGUUUGUGUGCAUGCCCAUGCAUGUGUAUUUUAUUCUUAGACAGUUGCUUGGGGCAGACUUCCAUGUGUUUUCUUAGACAGGUAAACUAUGUUAACGUCUCAUUUCCGCGAACUUCAUGCGCAAUGGGACGUUGAUUCUCAUGUGCAGGCACUUUGCGUACUUCAUGUCUUUCUCAUUACGACUUACCAGAAAUUUGUCAGUUUCUUCUUAGUGGGGAAUUCUCAAAAUAAUACUAAUAAUACAAUAAUAAUAAUAAUAAUGAAACUAAUAGGGAAUUACUGAAACAAAAAACCAGCAGGUCAGCAGGGUAUUACUUGAAAAAAUUGGUAGCAUAAUAUUUGAGAGUUAAGAAUAGUUUGAUUUUCUAAAGUUUCUUUAACAAUUAAAAGUUACACUGCAUCCUGUGGAGAGAGCCGCAUCAGAAUACGUACAGUAGCAGCUCCAGUAGUUUCAGAUCUUGGGGAGAUUUACUGCCAAGCUGACACGGGUGCCAUUGUUUCUCUGUUUGCCAGGCUUGGUAGGUAAACAGGAUGCCACUACAGGUAAUGCCAUGUAUAACCUGGGAUCUCUGCUAACGGAUUGGUAAUUUGCAGUAAUUGAGAAGACCUUAUCAAGUAAGCUGGAGGAUGCAUGAAACUCACUGCAAAUAAGGAUUGUUAAAGCUCUCAGAGAAUACUGUAACCUCUAUGCUGUACAGCAUCACUUAGGGGCUAGGAUGAUAUUCCCCGAGUCUUUAAAGUUCUUAGCUGCAUAUAGAUUGGCACUUUGUAAAUCAACCUCUUCGAGGAGGAUAUGCUGAGGCUCAGCUUGAUGAAUGCUGUGCAGCAGGUUACACCAUGAUGGCAUUACCAGUUAAAAAACUGUUGAAGCUUUUAUAUCCUAGUUUGAUUCGAGUUGAUGAGUAUCUCCUAAAGGUGGAAGUUUUUUCAUGUUUAGUAAUGUUUAAACUUCAUUUUGAUAAUUUACAGAGUUUACAAAACUCUUAACAUUUCAUCCAUAUCUCAUACAUGCAGCCGUCUGGUAAAGAUAAUGACUUCAAAGAGAACUUAAAAAGGUUACCACUGAGUGCAGACAGCUUGGAUUCCAGAGGUCUUUAUAUAUAUGACGAUGGUUUUCGCUUUAUUAUAUGGUUUGGUAGAACACUGCCACCGGGUAUAUCUGAGAGUCUUCUUGGGGCAGACUUUGCAGCAGAAUUAUCACGGGUAUGUUGUUCAUUAUCAGUGUUCUUUACUCAUUACUUAGUGUGUGCUCAGUUCCUAUUUAGAAUUGGUUUUAUUAAUGUUUUUAAGAUGGCGAUACUGGCCUUCAACAUUUGAGAAUUGAUGUUCUCUUCUUUUAUUAACUUUUGACUUGGAUGUGGGUGCCGAAGUUUCCUAUUUCAUUGUUUAGCAGGAAAAUAACCUAAAUUUGGUUUUUUUAUGGGUUUUGAUUAUCUGUGAAAGAGAGGACCUGGUGAUAUAUAUUUACAGUGAAACAUUUAAAGCCCAACUGAUUUCAAUGUUUUGAGUUUGUGCCAGUAUUAUUGUGUAAUAGGUUGACGGUAGCAGAUGUAUCAACCUAUGACGAUACAGCCUAAGCAUUACUGAGUUAUAGGGUGUCAAUCAAAUAUAGAUUGGUUUUGCCCUGAAUAUGUAAUGUGAUUGACUUGUAGUUGUCUUAAACAUGCUGUCUUUUCUUGCAUGGAGAGUCUUUGUGCAGGAACGUCCGUGUCAGAAAUAGUUCCUUUUUCUGUAAUGUUAUUUUUGAAGUUUUGACUUUUCUCUGGUAUUAGUAACAAAUUCUUACUUAUCCGACCAGAAAGAGAAAAAUACGAUAUUGAUUUCUCAUUUAACCUAUAUGCUGUAUGGUUGCGAUGUUUUUGUUUUAUCAGGUUAUCCUUAGAGAGCAUGAAAACGAAAUGUCAAGAAAGUUGAUGGGGAUCCUGAAGAAAAUUAGGGAGAGUGACCCUUCGUAUUAUCAGCUGAUUUACCUUGUACGGCAAGGUGAGCAACCUCGAGAAGGGUCGCUUCUUCUCACAAACCUUGUUGAGGAUCAGUUUGGUGGUGUCAGUGGUUAUGUUGAUUGGAUUAUGCAAAUACACAGACAAGUCCAGCAAAAAUGCAUAGGAAGUACAGGUAAGGAAUAAUAAGGUUGAUUUCCAUAUUCAGUUUAGUGUUCAGAAAUUGCUUCAAAAGUUUUAAGACUCCUUGUGGACAGCAACUGCAAAUGUUAUUCCUUUUAUAGGCAAUUUAGUAAGUUGUCAAAAUUUUAAAGUAAUAGGGGUAAUGAAGUUACUUUUUUGAGGAUCAUUAAGCUUUUGAAUAAUUCUAGAUGGCUGGUUUCUACAAAGCUGAGCAUAGUCUUUUUCAACUUUGUGGUUUAAGUCACUUUGUGGAAAUGCUUUUUUGACCCCCUUGGUUUGCUGCUGAUUUCAAAGCCACUGUUUAAACUAAGUUUCAUACGUAUGAUGUUUUACUUCAAUAUUGCAG
rnacentral:lncRNA from 1 species